rnacentral:rRNA from 1 species
UGGGGAAUAUUGGACAAUGGGCGCAAGCCUGAUCCAGCCAUGCCGCGUGAGUGAUGAAGGCCUUAGGGUUGUAAAGCUCUUUUAGCGGGGAAGAUAAUGACGGUACCCGCAGAAAAAGCCCCGGCUAACUUCGUGCCAGCAGCCGCGGUAAUACGAAGGGGGCUAGCGUUGCUCGGGAUUACUGGGCGUAAAGCGCACGUAGGCGGACUCUUAAGUCGGUGGUGAAAUCCUGGAGCUCAACUCCAGAACUGCCUUCGAUACUGGGAGUCUUGAGUUCGGGAGAGGUGAGUGGAACUGCGAGUGUAGAGGUGAAAUUCGUAGAUAUUCGCAAGAACACCAGUGGCGAAGGCGGCUCACUGGCCCGAUACUGACGCUGAGGUGCGAAAGCGUGGGGAGCAAACA